rnacentral:rRNA from 1 species
UACGUAGGGUCCGAGCGUUGUCCGGAAUUACUGGGCGUAAAGAGCUCGUAGGCGGUUUGUCGCGUUGUUCGUGAAAACUCACAGCUCAACUGUGGGCGUGCGGGCGAUACGGGCAGACUGGAGUACUGCAGGGGAGACUGGAAUUCCUGGUGUAGCGGUGGAAUGCGCAGAUAUCAGGAGGAACACCGGUGGCGAAGGCGGGUCUCUGGGCCGAUACUGACGCUGAGGCACGAAAGCGUGGGGAGCAAACAGG